rnacentral:rRNA from 1 species
AUGGCUCAGGAUGAACGCUGGCGGCGUGCUUAACACAUGCAAGUCGAACGAAUUACUUAAAAGAAGUCUUCGGAUGGAAAAUAAAGUAGUUAGUCGGCGGGACGGGUGACGUAACGCGUGGGAAACCUGCCCUAUACAGGGGGAUACGCCUCGGGAAACCGGGAUUAAUACCCCAUAAAGCUCUAGAAUCGGCAUGAUUCAAGAGUCAAAACUCCGGUGGUAUAGGGAUGGUCCCCGCGUCCCAUUAGCUAGUUGGUGAGGUAACGGCCCACCAAGGCGACGAUGGGUAGCCGGCCUGAGAGGGUGAACGGCCACACUGGAACUGAGACACGGUCCGGACUCCUACGGGAGGCAGCAGUGGGGAAUAUUGCAACCAAUGGGGGAAACCCUGAUGCAGCGACGCCGCGUGAGCGAAGAAGGCCUUCGGGUCGUAAAGCUCUGUCCUAAGGGAAGAAAAAGACGGUACCUUAGGAGGAAGCCCCGGCUAACUACGUGCCAGCCGCCGC